CUCUGAUGUUUGAGAUUUGAUGAUGUCAUGACGAGGAGCUUGAGCUUUAGAAAAGAAGGGUUGGUGUCCUUGUUCUGUUUCUUAAUCUCUUCAAUUUCUUCAGCUGUGCAAUGCAAUGAUAACAAUCUCUUCAGGUUCCUCACUUGGGAUAAUCCCUUUUUCAGAGCACAUCUCAUUUCCAAGUGGCUGUUGCGCUGCUGUUUGCCCCCACUCCUUCAGUGCGACAGCCUCAGAGCUGGUGGAAAGACUGCAUGCCACUGGAUAAAUUCGUAGAUGUGGAAUUCCUGGAUCAAAUGAUACUCAAAGAUUUAGUUUCCUGGACUCAGUUUCUGGAAAUUUCUAGAAUGAUGUAAGAGGGAAAUAGAAGAAAUGUGUGAGGAGUUGAAGUAAAUAAUGUUUGCCAGCCUGUUGCUGACAGUAAUCUGAUGUAGGGAUUU
rnacentral:lncRNA from 13 species